GAUCUGGCUCAGGAUGAACGCUGGCGGCGUGCCUAAUACAUGCAAGUCGAACGCUUCACUUCGGUGAAGAGUGGCGAACGGGUGAGUAAUACAUAAGUAACCUGGCAUCUACAGGGGGAUAACUGAUGGAAACGUCAGCUAAGACCGCAUAGGUGUAGAGAUCGCAUGAACUCUAUAUGAAAAGUGCUACGGGACUGGUGGAUGAUGGACUUAUGGCGCAUUAG
rnacentral:rRNA from 1 species